rnacentral:rRNA from 1 species
AAUCCUUUUCCUCUCAUGAGGAAAAGCUGAAAGACGGUUUCGGCUGUCACUUACAGAUGGGCCCGCGGCGCAUUAGCUAGUUGGUGAGGUAACGGCUCACCAAGGCGACGAUGCGUAGCCGACCUGAGAGGGUGAUCGGCCACACUGGGACUGAGACACGGCCCAGACUCCUACGGGAGGCAGCAGUAGGGAAUCUUCCGCAAUGGACGAAAGUCUGACGGAGCAACGCCGCGUGAGCGAUGAAGGCCUUCGGGUCGUAAAGCUCUGUUGUUAGGGAAGAACAAGUACCGGAGUCACUGCCGGUACCUUGACGGUACCUAACCAGAAAGCCACGGCUAACUACGUGCCAGCAGCCGCGGUAAUACGUAGGUGGCAAGCGUUGUCCGGAAAUUAUUGGGCGUAAAGCGCGCGCAGGCGGUCCUUUAAGUCUGAUGUGAAAGCCCACGGCUCAACCCGUGGAGGGUCAUUGGAAACUGGGGGACUUGAGUGCAGAAGAGGAAAGCGGAAUUCCACGUGUAGCGGUGAAAUGCGUAGAGAUGUGGAGGAACACCAGUGGCGAAGGCGGCUUUCUGGUCUGUAACUGACGCUGAGGCGCGAAAGCGUGGGGAGCAAACAGGAUUAGAUACCCUGGUAGUCCACGCCGUAAACGAUGAGUGCUAAGUGUUAGAGGGUUUCCGCCCUUUAGUGCUGCAGCUAACGCAUUAAGCACUCCGCCUGGGGAGUACGGGCCGCAAGGCUGAAACUCAAAGGAAUUGACGGGGGCCCGCACAAGCGGUGGAAGCAUGUGGUUUAAUUCGAAGCAACGCGAAGAACCCUUACCAGGUUCUUGACAUCCUCUGACAACCCUAGAGAUAGGGCUUUCCCCUUCGGGGGACAGAGUGACAGGUGGUGCAUGGUUGUCGUCAGCUCGUGUCGUGAGAUGUUGGGUUAAGUCCCGCAACGAGCGCAACCCUUGAUCUUAGUUGCCAGCAUUCAGUUGGGCACUCUAAGGUGACUGCCGGUGACAAACCGGAGGAAGGUGGGGAUGACGUCAAAUCAUCAUGCCCCUUAUGACCUGGGCUACACACGUGCUACAAUGGAUGGUACAAAGGGCUGCAAAACCGCGAGGUUGAGCCAAUCCCAUAAAACCAUUCUCAGUUCGGAUUGUAGGCUGCAACUCGC